AUUGAACGCUGGCGGCAGGCCUAACACAUGCAAGUCGAGCGGAGCGGGGGACGGGGGAGUAAUGCCUAGGAAUCUGCAUGGUAGUGGGGGAGGACGUCCGGAAACGGGCGCUAAUACCGCAUACUCUCAGAUGAGGCUAGGGCGGAUUAGGUAGUGGGUGGGGUAAAGGCCUACCAAGGCGACGAUCCGUAGCUGGUCUGAGAGGAUGAUCAGUCACACUGGAACUGAGACACGGCCCAGACUCCUACGGGAGGCAGCAGUGGGGAAUAUUGGACAAUGGGCGAAAGCCUGACGCAGCCAUGCCGCGUGUGUGAAGAAGGUCUUCGGGUUGUAAAGCACUUUAAGUUGCGAGGCGUUACCAACAGAAUAAGCACCGGCUAACUUCGUGCCAGCAGCCGCGGUAAUUC
rnacentral:rRNA from 1 species